AUUGAACGCUGGCGGCAUGCUUUACACAUGCAAGUCGAACGGCAGCGCGGGCUUCGGCCUGGCGGCGAGUGGCGAACGGGUGAGUAAUACAUCGGAACGUGCCCAGUCGUGGGGGAUAGCUCGGCGAAAGCCGGAUUAAUACCGCAUACGACCUGAGGGUGAAAGCGGGGGAUCUUCGGACCUCGCGCUAUUGGAGCGGCCGAUGGGAGAUUAGCUAGUUGGUGGGGUAAAGGCCUACCAAGGCGACGAUCUGUAGCUGGUCUGAGAGGACGACCAGCCACACUGGGACUGAGACACGGCCCAGACUCCUACGGGAGGCAGCAGUGGGGAAUUUUGGACAAUGGGCGAAAGCCUGAUCCAGCAAUGCCGCGUGUGUGAUGAAGGCCUUCGGGUUGUAAAGCACUUUUGGCGGGAACGAAAAGGACUGUGCCAAUACCACGGUUCGAUGACGGUACCCGCAGAAUAAGCACCGGCUAACUACGUG
rnacentral:rRNA from 1 species